rnacentral:rRNA from 1 species
UACGUAGGGUGCGAGCGUUAAUCGGAAUUACUGGGCGUAAAGCGUGUGCAGGCGGUUUUGUAAGCCCGAUGUGAAAUCCCCGGGCUUAACCUGGGAAUGGCAUUUGGGACUGCAAGGCUCGAGUGCGGCAGAGGAGACUGGAAUUCCUAGUGUAGCAGUGAAAUGCGUAGAUAUCAGGAGGAACACCGAUGGCGAAGGCAGGUCUCUGGGCUGACACUGACGCUCAUGCACGAAAGCGUGGGGAGCAAGCAGG